GACGAACGCUGGCGGCGUGCCUAAUACAUGCAAGUAGAACGCUGAAGGAGGAGCUUGCUUCUCUGGAUGAGUUGCGAACGGGUGAGUAACGCGUAGGUAACCUGCCUGGUAGUGGGGGAUAACUAUUGGAAACGAUAGCUAAUACCGCAUAAUAGCAGUUGUUGCAUGAUAACUGUUUGAAAGGUGCAAUUGCACCGCUACCAGAUGGACCUGCGUUGUAUUAGCUAGUUGGUGGGGUAACGGCUCACCAAGGCGACGAUACAUAGCCGACCUGAGAGGGUGAUCGGCCACACUGGGACUGCGACACGGCCCAGACUCCUUCGGGAGGCAGCAGUAGGGAAUCUUCGGCAAUGGACGGAAGUCUGACCGAGCAACGCCGCGUGAGUGAAGAAGGUUUUCGGAUCGUAAAGCUCUGUUGUAAGAGAAGAACGAGUGUGAGAGUGGAAAGUUCACACUGUGACGGUAUCUUACCAGAAAGGGACGGCUAACUACGUG
rnacentral:rRNA from 1 species